rnacentral:lncRNA from 1 species
AUGCUGCGAGCAAGGUCAGGGCGCAGGAGACAACCCGGAAACGGGAGAGUGGGCAGGCGGGUGCCUGGGAGGUCGGCCGGGGCCAGCACACCACGACCUCCUAAAGCCACACUGCCCAGUGUGGCGGGGAGUGCUGUGUGGCAGAGGUGGCCACCGGGGCCCGGACAUCUGAUGCAGAGGCUCACUGGGUCCGGCCUGAAGGCUUCCUGUGUCUCCCUAAACGCGGGCCCACGCUUGGGAAGCAGGCAGACAGGCCUUUCCACCAGCCAGUCCACCACUGUGUCCUUCACCUAUGCGCCCAUGCCUGUGUCUGAUGGCUGCCCACGGCCACUGAGCAGUGACCAGGCUGCAAGACACGCUGAGCCGCGGGGAGCCAGCAGCUGCGGGGGCCCCUACCAGGGAGCUGGGAUCGGGAGACCUCCUGCAGCCCUGCGGCUGACUUCUGCCGUUCCCGGGUUGGCCAGCAACACCUGCACACCUGUGGCUCCGUCCUUCCUCUCCACUCUCCCCGUGAGGUGGGUGCAGCCCCUGGAGCCACGGAGGGAGCUCAGACUUUGGAACCACAGCCCGGUGGCGGAACAGGACCCUGAGCUGCCUCUGGGAAAUUGUGGGGCCCUCCUGGGCCCCUGCCUUUUGACUGUCUGGGCCUCCUCCCUCUGGCUCAGCCCACCUUUCUCCUGCACGUUUCCCUCACGUCCAACCUCUGCCCAGCUCGGUGUCUGUCUGAUCACAGUUUGUGGCAGUUUUAAAUUUUAUUUUCUUCAGUUUUUUGUACCCAGGACUGUGCCCUUCCUGCAGUUGUACCAAGAGGUCACGCGGCUUCCGGUCACGGCUCACAGAUCCACGCUCCUGCGCCGGCAGGGACCUGACAGACAAACGCGCUGCCCCCGGAAUUUAAAAAUCCUAUUGCCCCGUUUUCUCUGAGAGGUGGACAGCGACAGCGUCACAGAGGCCACGCGAGGGAGGAAGCCUGGGAGAAUCCGAGCGGUGAGAUGGAUGCACUGCUCAAACUGUCAGGUGCUGCAGCUCGAGACAGCCCCAGACAGGAAGGAGGCCGAGGCGCAGGGUCAGGGGCAGCCCACGGUGCUCCACGCCCCUCCUGCCGGAGCCCGCGCCAGCUCCGGCCGCGGCACAGCCCUUCCCUUGAACCCGGCCCGCUCGCCUCAGCCGCUGUUACGAGUUGCCUGUAAUGAAAAGAAUGUGAUUUCCCCGUGAUUUUCUUCCCUUGAGGGAAAGGAAUUUCAUUAAAAGUCCACAAUUAAUACAUAAAUGUGUUAGUAAAGUAAAACCAUGGGAUUUGGCACUGGUAAGAGUGGUCGUGUCUCCGAAUUUUCCAGAAGUAAGCAAUGUAAAAUUUAAAUGCCAGGGCCGUUAAUAUUUCUGUCGGCACCGUAGUCACUGAAGGGUACACGCGGGUACGUGAAUUUUGUUCUGCAUAAUUCGGAUUCCUGGGCUCUUCCUCGCCUCUUUGCAGUCUUUGGUUCCGAGCACAGAGUAGCUGAUCACUGCUGUGGGCUACAGUCUCAAGGUGUUAUUAACGCAAAUGCCAGCUGAAGGAGCUGACUUACUGGGGUUUCCCCUGCUGGGGUGAGGAUGUGAGUUGGACUGUGUCGCCCUGGAGUGCUGGACUGGAUGCCGCUUGUAUCCAGAGAAAAGCAGUCUGUGAACGGAGGGGAGGGUGUGGGGGAGGGGCAGGUGGAAGGUGUCUGACCUGCGGCUGCUCCGGGUCCAGGGGUUUCAGGGCUCACCAGUAAAUCGCUUUUUCUCUGAAUCACUUUUGGUGUUCAACGCUCUGUCCUGGCACGGGGAAGUGCUCUCUGCUCUUGGCUGCCGUCCUGGAGCUUUUGAGUCUUGGGGAUUCCAAUCCCUUCUGCUCUCCACCCACACGCCUGGGGAUGAUGUAAUUCUAUGCUUCAGACUUCCC